GAAAGAAGCGCCGGAGCCUACUGCGACAUAGGCUGACGAGGACAGGGAGUAUCGAAAUUUCGGCGGAUGCCCUGCGGCAGUUAUGUCGUAAGUAUAAGUGCAAAUAUCGGAGUAAUCCGAAAACAAAGACU
rnacentral:ncRNA from 1 species